ACACUUGUACACUUCAUUUUAGGCUAAAAAAAACUAUAAAUAAAGAGUCUAAAGCCACUAGAUUUGGAAAGAUAAUGGAUAAAUUUACCUGCCCAAAGUGGUGAUCUCUCCAAGCACAAGUACGGAACAAAACAUGGUGAGGACAAGUCCUAAAGGAGUCCAUAGAGCUAAGAAAACUGGUCCCUUCUUUUCAAUUACAUAUGCUUGUAAAUAGUAUCACUAGUAGAAAAAGGUCAAUUUGCGUCGCCCCAUUUGCGUCGCACAAACACGGAAACGAUGCAAAUAUACUAUUUGCGUCGCAUGCAACAAUGAAUCGACGCAUAAGACGAACUAUGUGCGUCGUAUCUAAAUAAUGUGCGAUGCAAAUCAUCUAUGUGCGUCGCAUGAAGCCCAUGGUGCGACGCACAUAACAAAGUAAUCUGCGUCGCAUGAAGCCCAUGGUGCGACGCAGAUUACCAACCCAACACAAAGCCCCGUGUUUCAAAUAUAUCCUCAAACCCUAAAAAAAGUUGCAGCGAACAUUACAACCCAGCGCCUCUUUUUCAAAAUCCUCUCUUUCUCUCUCACCUUCACACCCCCUCUCUCUCUCUCUCACCCUCACCCUCACCCUCACCCUCACCCUCCCCUCCCUCUCUUCAGCGAAAACACCCAUAAACAUUUUCUUGCUACCCAUUUCUCUUUUUUCUACAAGAAAAACACCCACGAAAACACAAAAACCCCAAAAAAAAUGGCAAACCCAGGUUGUGUUAUGGAGUAAUUUUGGUUCUUCUCACUUUCUUUGGUCAGCGAAGAAGACGAAUAGAACCAGCGAAAACUCAGUUCUUUUUAAUUUUGUAGAUCUAAUUUCGACUCACAUAACAAAGUAGUCUAAUACUUCUCUCUACUCGAAAAAACUUGAACAACGAAAAUUGAAGAAUCAGCGAAAACUCAGUUCAUGCAUCUGAAAACCACCAUGGAUGAUAACUUCUCUCUCCUCGAAAACUCUUUCAUUUUGUAGAUCUAAUUUCUGACGAAGAAGACGAAUAGAACCAACCACCAGUGCGGACUGUUGUCGAUGGAUUACACGAGAGAGAAAAAAUAUGCGGUAUCUGGGUAGUUUUCUCGCCGGCGGAAUUUUUUUGUUUCAAGUUUUGUUGCCGGCGUCCUCGAAGACGGUAGCGAACUCAAAAUGAAGAUGAAGCGUUUUGUUUUUUGUAAUUUCUGUAACUAUGUCAUUGAACUUUUGUUCCUUUUGUUGAUUUGCUUAUUUUUAUUUUCUGUGUUAGAUCUAGAAUAUGUGCGAACUUUCCGGCGGUUACUGGUUUUUUAUGGUUGUUUGAUGGUGAACUUUUCUUUUUGAAACACAGAAUUUGUGCGUAUUUUGUAUAAUUUGUACAA